UACCACCUCUAGAAGAUAGCAACCACCACAUGCCCUAUGUCUUAGGAACAAGGAUCCUUCGCUGAGUUCUUAUUUUUCCUUUUUAUUUUCAAUAAGAAAAGUGUUGUUUCAUGAUAUGUAAAAGUGUAAGAGUGUCAUCACAUGAUAUUUUUUAUUUUGCUUUGAUUGUUUUGUGUGCCAGAUCAAUCUUUUCAACUCCUAGCAUUGUUUUUUGUUUUGUUUUUUCGAGCUGUUUCUUAGGAUUUUGAUGUUCUCAGCC
rnacentral:lncRNA from 1 species